GGGUGCGAUCAUACCAGCACUAAUGCACCGGAUCUCAUCAGAACUCCGAAGUUGAGCGUGCUUGGGCGAGAGUAGUACUAGGAUGGGUGACCCCCUGGGAAGUCCUCGUGUUGCACCCC
rnacentral:rRNA from 1 species